rnacentral:rRNA from 1 species
GACGAACGCUGGCGGCGUGCCUAAUACAUGCAAGUAGAACGCAGUUGCGAACGGGUGAGUAACGCGUAUGUAACUGCCUCAUUGCGGGGGAUAACCAUUGGAAACGAUAGCUAAUACCGCAUUCUGUGAGCUGGACAUGCGUUGCUUUUGCUAGUUGGUGAGGUAAAGGCCCACCAAGGCGACGAUACAUAGCCGACCUGUGAGGGUGGUCCGCCACACUGGGACUGAGGCACGGCCCAGACUCCUACUGGAGGGCGCAGUAGGGGAACAUCGGCAAUGGACGGAAAUCUGGACGAGCAACGCCGGGUGAGUGGAGAAGGUUUUCGGAGCGGAAAGCUCUGUUGUUAGAGAAGCGGUAACGAACCAGAAAGGGACGGCUAACUACGUGCCAGCCGCCGCGGUAAUAC